rnacentral:rRNA from 1 species
AGAUUAAACUGAAGAGUUUGAUCCUGGCUCAGAUUGAACGCUGGCGGCAUGCCUUACACAUGCAAGUCGAACGGCAGCACGGAGCUUGCUC